rnacentral:misc_RNA from 1 species
GAUGAAGAACGCAGCGAAAUGCGAUAAGUAAUGUGAAUUGCAGAAUUCAGUGAAUCAUCGAAUCUUUGAACGCACAUUGCGCCCGGCAGCAAUCUGCCGGGCAUGCCUGUCCGAGCGUCAUUUCUUCCCUCGAGCGCGGCUAGCCCUACGGGGCCUGCCGUCGCCCGGUGUUGGGGCUCUACGGGUGGUGCUCGUCCCCCCCGCAGUCCCCGAAAUGUAGUGGCGGUCCAGCCGCGGCGCCCCCUGCGUAGUAGAUCCUACAUCUCGCAUCGGGUCCCGGCGAAGGCCAGCCGUCGAACCUUUUAUUUCAUGGUUUGACCUCGGAUCAGGUAGGGUUACCCGCUGAACUUAAGCAUAUCAAUAAGCGGAGGA